rnacentral:rRNA from 1 species
GAUUAGCCAUGCAUGUCUCAGUACACGCCGCUUUAAGGUGAAACCGCAAAAGGCUCAUUAAAUCAGCUAUGGUUCCUUGGAUCGUACUCUCCACUACUUGGAUAACUGUGGUAAUUCUAGAGCUAAUACAUGCGACAGAGUCCCGGCCGGGCGACCGGCGGGGACGCUUUUAUUAGAUCAAAACCAGUCUUCGCCCGCGCCGUUCGGCCGUUUCGGUCCGGGCGCGCGGAGCGUAGCGCUGUUUGGUGACUCUGGAUAACUUUCGGCGGAUCGCACGGCCCUAGCGCCGGCGACGCAUCCUUCAAAUGUCUGCCUUAUCAACUGUCGACGGUAGGUUCUACGCCUACCGUGGUGGUGACGGGUAACGGGGAAUCAGGGUUCGAUUCCGGAGAGGGAGCCUGAGAAACGGCUACCACAUCCAAGGAAGGCAGCAGGCGCGCAAAUUACCCACUCUCGGCACGGGGAGGUAGUGACGAGAAAUAACGAUACGGGACUCAUCCGAGGCCCCGUAAUCGGAAUGAGUGUACUCUAAACACUUGUACGAGUAUCUAUUGGAGGGCAAGUCUGGUGCCAGCAGCCGCGGUAAUUCCAGCUCCAAUAGCGUAUAUUAAAGUUGUUGCGGUUAAAAAGCUCGUAGUCGGAAUCCUGUCCCGCGCCGCCGGUUCACCGCCCGUCGGUGUCCAACUGGCCGGUCAGCGGGACGUACUGCCGGUGGUCCGCCGGACCUUCGCCGGGCGCGUAGGCGUGCCCGACAGGCCUCUCAACGAUGUCUGCCGCGGCGCGACCGAAGGCCCGUGCGUAGCGCGCCGGCGGCUUGAAAAAUCCCGUCGCGGUGCUCCUCGCGGGGCGCCGAGUCGGGCCGGUGCGUUUACUUUGAACAAAUUAGAGUGCUUAAAGCGGGCGCUGUCUCACGCCUGGAUAAUGCGUGCAUGGAAUAAUGGAAUAGGGCCUCGGUUCUAUUUUGUUGGGUUUUCGGA